rnacentral:rRNA from 1 species
UGGGGAAUAUUGCACAAUGGGCGCAAGCCUGAUGCAGCCAUGCCGCGUGUAUGAAGAAGGCCUUCGGGUUGUAAAGUACUUUCAGCGGGGAGGAAGGGAGUAAAGUUAAUACCUUUGCUCAUUGACGUUACCCGCAGAAGAAGCACCGGCUAACUCCGUGCCAGCAGCCGCGGUAAUACGGAGGGUGCAAGCGUUAAUCGGAAUUACUGGGCGUAAAGCGCACGCAGGCGGUUUGUUAAGUCAGAUGUGAAAUCCCCGGGCUCAACCUGGGGACAGCAUAUGAUACUGGCAAGCUUGAGUCUCGUAGAGGGGGGUAGAAUUCCAGGUGUAGCGGUGAAAUGCGUAGAGAUCUGGGGGAAUACCGGUGGGGAAGGCGGCCCCCUGGACGAAGACUGACGCUCAGGUGCGAAAGCGUGGGGAGCAAACAGG